CUGCCUGGUAGUGGGGGACGAACGUUUCGAAAGGAACGCUAAUACCGCAUACGUCCUACGGGAGAAAGCAGGGACCUUCGGGCCUUGCGCUAUCAGAUGAGCCUAGGUCGGAUUAGCUAGUUGGUGAGGUAAUGGCUCACCAAGGCGACGAUCCGUAACUGGUCUGAGAGGAUGAUCAGUCACACUGGAACUGAGACACGGUCCAGACUCCUACGGGAGGCAGCAGGC
rnacentral:rRNA from 1 species